rnacentral:rRNA from 1 species
GAUGAACGCUGGCGGCGUGCCUAAUACAUGCAAGUCGAGCGAACAGACGAGGAGCUUGCUCCUCUGACGUUAGCGGCGGACGGGUGAGUAACACGUGGAUAACCUACCUAUAAGACUGGGAUAACUUCGGGAAACCGGAGCUAAUACCGGAUAAUAUAUUGAACCGCAUGGUUCAAUAGUGAAAGACGGUUUUGCUGUCACUUAUAGAUGGAUCCGCGCCGCAUUAGCUAGUUGGUAAGGUAACGGCUUACCAAGGCAACGAUGCGUAGCCGACCUGAGAGGGGGAUCGGCCACACUGGAACUGAGACACGGUCCAGACUCCUACGGGAGGCAGCAGUAGGGAAUCUGCCGCAAUGGGCGAAAGCCUGACGGAGCAACGCCGCGUGAGUGAUGAAGGUCUUCGGAUCGGAAAACUCUGUUAUGAGGGAAGAACAAAUGUGUAAGUAACUAUGCACGUCUUGACGGUACCUAAUCAGAAAGCCACGGCUAACUACGUG